CCUACGGGAGGCAGCAGUGGGGAAUAUUGCACAAUGGGGGAAACCCUGAUGCAGCAACGCCGCGUGAGCGAUGAAGGCCUUCGGGUCGUAAAGCUCUGUCCUAAGGGAAGAUAAUGACGGUACCUUAGGAGGAAGCCCCGGCUAACUACGUGCCAGCAGCCGCGGUAAU
rnacentral:rRNA from 1 species